rnacentral:lncRNA from 10 species
CUUCCCUGGAGCUGCAGAGGACAACUUGUUCCACCCACGCUGCCCUGCCCCGAUCUCACAGAGUUAUGACCGCCUCGUUGCAGUCCGUUCCUAAGUUAGCUUCUCCUUUGCUGGGGUCUGAAGCCCAGACCACUCACUCUGGGAGAAAGCAACUGGCUAUGUCAUGAGGAAAUUGAAACCACCUAUGGAGAAAGGCCCACAUGGUGAGAAAGUAAAGCCUCUUCC